UGAGCCUGGAAAAACCGACCGAGUUCGUUGUGCGCUCGUAAAACAACAAGUUGGGUUGUGAGCUUGUAAAACAACCGGCUGUAAUCUGUAGGAUUAUAGUGAAAUUUCCAAGAGGUCUUGGGGAGUGGAUGUAGGUGCUGGGAUGCACCGAACCACUAUAUGUUUGUUGUGUUUGUAAUGCCUCUUGUCAUUGUCUAACUAACACACUUACUUAGAUAGAUUGCUUGCUUAACUGUUAUCCGCGCAUCCUUUAGUUGCAAGCAUAUUCAAUCAAGUCACAUUCUAUACA
rnacentral:lncRNA from 1 species